GGGACUAUAACUUCAAGCGACUCGAAAAUUAGACCGCGCACAAAUCUUUAGGACUGGCAACCUUGGAUAUUGAAAUUCGAGUUACUAUUCACUGCACUAUUCAAAUUAGGAAUAUAGACAAUCCAUCGAACGCUAAAUAAUUGUGAUAACUCCUACUAGCUUCCUUUUGAACCAUGAGACAUUAUCUACUCGAGGAUUAUUUUUCUUGAAAAAGAUAAAUCUCCGACCUCUACAACUGCACAAAGCUAUUUCAAGGGUCAAUUGUCAGCAACAAGAAAACCUAAACAGAACACACCUAAUAAGCUUGAUAUAAAAUUUGUGUAACCAUCAAGGCAAAGUCUUCCGGUUGAGGCAAAACUUUCC
rnacentral:lncRNA from 1 species